rnacentral:rRNA from 1 species
GAAGGUGUGUCGUGAGGCAUGCUGGAGGUAUCAGAAGUGCGAAUGCUGACAUAAGUAACGAUAAAGCGGGUGAAAAGCCCGCUCGCCGGAAGACCAAGGGUUCCUGUCCAACGUUAAUCGGGGCAGGGUGAGUCGACCCCUAAGGCGAGGCCGAAAGGCGUAGUCGAUGGGAAACGGGUUAAUAUUCCCGUACUUGGUGUUACUGCGAAGGGGGGACGGAGAAGGCUAUGUUGGCCGGGCGACGGUUGUCCCGGUUUAAGCGUGUAGGUGUGUGUUCUAGGUAAAUCCGGUUCACUUUAACACUGAGGCGUGACGACGAGGCACUACGGUGCUGAAGCAACAAAUGCCCUGCUUCCAGGAAAAGCCUCUAAGCAUCAGGUAACAUCAAAUCGUACCCCAAACCGACACAGGUGGUCAGGUAGAGAAUACCAAGGCGCUUGAGAGAACUCGGGUGAAGGAACUAGGCAAAAUGGUGCCGUAACUUCGGGAGAAGGCACGCUGACACGUAGGUGAAGUGAUUUACUCAUGGAGCUGAAGUCAGUCGAAGAUACCAGCUGGCUGCAACUGUUUAUUAAAAACACAGCACUGUGCAAACACGAAAGUGGACGUAUACGGUGUGACGCCUGCCCGGUGCCGGAAGGUUAAUUGAUGGGGUCAGCGCAAGCGAAGCUCCUGAUCGAAGCCCCGGUAAACGGCGGCCGUAACUAUAACGGUCCUAAGGUAGCGAAAUUCCUUGUCGGGUAAGUUCCGACCUGCACGAAUGGCGUAAUGAUGGCCAGGCUGUCUCCACCCGAGACUCAGUGAAAUUGAACUCGCUGUGAAGAUGCAGUGUACCCGCGGCAAGACGGAAAGACCCCGUGAACCUUUACUAUAGCUUGACACUGAACAUUGAGCCUUGAUGUGUAGGAUAGGUGGGAGGCUUUGAAGUGUGGACGCCAGUCUGCAUGGAGCCGACCUUGAAAUACCACCCUUUAA